ACGCUUAACACAUGCAAGUCGAACGAAGAUGUUUCACCGUAGCUUGCUACACCGAGACAUUUUAGUGGCGGACGGGUGAGUAACACGUGAGCAAUCUGCCUUUCAGAGGGGGAUACCAGUUGGAAACGACUGUUAAUACCGCAUUAACAUAUCGAGAUCGCAUGAUUUUGAUAUCAAAGAUUUAUCGCUGAAAGAUGAGCUCGCGUCUGAUUAGAUAGUUGGUGAGGUAACGGCUCGCCAAGUCGACGAUCAGUAGCCGGACUGAGAGGUUGGACGGCCACAUUGGGACUGAGACACGGCCCAGACUCCUACGGGAGGCAGCAGUGGGGAAUAUUGCACAAUGGGCGCAAGCCUGAUGCAGCGAUGCCGCGUGAGGGAAGAAGGUUUUUACGGAUUGUAAACCUCUGUCUUCAGGGACGAUAAUGACGGUACCUGAGGAGGAAGCUCCGGCUAACUACGUG
rnacentral:rRNA from 1 species